AGGAUAAACGCUGGCGGCGUGCCUAAUGCAUGCAAGUCGAACGGACAUUCUCGCAAGAGAGUGUUAGUGGCAAACGGGUGAGUAACACGUGGGCAACCUGCCCAUAGCUCUGGGAUAAGCGCUGGAAACGGCGUCUAAUACCGGAUACGACACGGGACGGCAUCAUCUCCGUGUGGAAAGAAUUUCGGCUAUGGAUGGGCCCGCGGCCUAUCAGCUUGUUGGUGAGGUAAUGGCUCACCAAGGCUACGAC
rnacentral:rRNA from 1 species